rnacentral:rRNA from 1 species
CUAUAAGUCUUGGCCAAAUUACGUGCCAGCAGUCGCGGUAAUACGUAAAAGACGAGUGUUAUUCAUCUUUAAUCGGUUUAAAGGGUACCUAGACGGAAAAUCAAGCUUAAUUAAACUAAGGACUAGUUUUCUAGAGUUUGACAUGAGAAGGUACGAACUAUCAGAGGAGAGAUAAAAUUUGUUGAUACUGGUGGGACGGACAACGGCGAAGGCAAUCUUCUACUAAAAACUGACGUUGAGGGACGAAGCCUUGGGGAGCGAGAAGGAUUAGAUACCCUAGUAGUCCUUGGAGAAAAUUAUGAGUGCCAUAGACUAAAGUGAAAAAGAAGUUCUUUUAAAAGAACUUUGUAUCUGAGCCUUAAUUGGAUACAAAGGUCUCGAGUAGCAGUUUAUAAAUGAAAGUGUAAGCAUUCCACCUCAUGACUAAAGCGGCAACGCCCAAAUUGAAAUCAUUAGACCGUUUCUGAAACCAGUAGUGAAGUAUGUUAUUUAAUUCGAUAACCCGCGAAUAACCUUACCACGUUUUGAAUUUAUUAAACAAGUGUUGCACGGCUGUCUUCAGUUAAUGUCGUGAGAUUUUGGUUUGUUCCAUUAAUUAACGAAAACCCUUGUUUCAUUUUUAUAUGAAAUAGUUCACCGUUAUAUUGGA